CGGGAGACCGCGCAUCACAGAGGGCUGCAAGGCUCUGAGAAAGUUUUCUGUGAGCUCACUCUAUCCCAGAGCCACAGCUUUCCCUGCUUUCUCUCUUCCACCCCAUAUUUCUUUCCUUGUCCUUAAAGAGACCUCUCUUGUGGGUUCAUCCAAAUAGGCGGAGAAGGCAUUCCCUGAAUAUGGGCAGCUGGUUUUGCUUUGGUCAAUACUUCGGUCUCUGCAAAGCCUCUGGGAAGAAAAGAGCCCCCACCCCACCUUGGGGUGUUUAUAUUGCUUCUUUGUUAAAAAUCCACAAUCCAAGGGUACCUGUAGUCGCAAAAGGAAGUCGGCCCUCAGAAGAGAGAGAGAGAGCACAGCAAGGGGCGAAGAAGAGGCAAGCUUGCUGAGCAGAGAGUCCGAUGCAUGCUGGAUCCCAGGACCCUGGGAUCAUGACCUGAGCCAAAGGCAGAGCUUAGUGACUGAGCCACCCAGGCACCUCUGGUGUGUAAGUAAGUAAGACUGAAGUUCUUACUAUUUGGGAGACCCUGAAGAAGUCACUUUACCUCUCUGGGUCUCAGUUAAAUUGCACCUGUGACAGAGAAGUAAGGAGACAUGCUCCCACCUACUUUAUGAGAUAAUUACCAGGGUUGCAUGGGAUAGAGAAUGUGCCAUGCUAUGUAAGUACUAGUCAUUACCCUCAUAGAAUCUGAAACCCCAUGAGAUCUGGGACAGAAGAGAGUUAACACAAG
rnacentral:lncRNA from 1 species